rnacentral:rRNA from 2 species
GAUUUACAUUUGAGUGAGUGGCGAACUGGUGAGUAACACGUGGGAAACCUGCCCAGAAGCGGGGGAUAACACCUGGAAACAGAUGCUAAUACCGCAUAACAACUUGGACCGCAUGGUCCGAGUUUGAAAGAUGGCUUCGGCUAUCACUUUUGGAUGGUCCCGCGGCGUAUUAGCUAGAUGGUGGGGUAACGGCUCACCAUGGCAAUGAUACGUAGCCGACCUGAGAGGGUAAUCGGCCACAUUGGGACUGAGACACGGCCCAAACUCCUACGGGAGGCAGCAGUAGGGAAUCUUCCACAAUGGACGAAAGUCUGAUGGAGCAACGCCGCGUGAGUGAAGAAGGGUUUCGGCUCGUAAAACUCUGUUGUUAAAGAAGAACAUAUCUGAGAGUAACUGUUCAGGUAUUGACGGUAUUUAACCAGAAAGCCACGGCUAACUACGUGCCAGCAGCCGCGGUAAUACGUAGGUGGCAAGCGUUGUCCGGAUUUAUUGGGCGUAAAGCGAGCGCAGGCGGUUUUUUAAGUCUGAUGUGAAAGCCUUCGGCUCAACCGAAGAAGUGCAUCGGAAACUGGGAAACUUGAGUGCAGAAGAGGACAGUGGAACUCCAUGUGUAGCGGUGAAAUGCGUAGAUAUAUGGAAGAACACCAGUGGCGAAGGCGGCUGUCUGGUCUGUAACUGACGCUGAGGCUCGAAAGUAUGGGUAGCAAACAGGAUUAGAUACCCUGGUAGUCCAUACCGUAAACGAUGAAUGCUAAGUGUUGGAGGGUUUCCGCCCUUCAGUGCUGCAGCUAACGCAUUAAGCAUUCCGCCUGGGGGAGUACGGGCCGCAAGGCUGAAACUCAAAAGGAAUU